rnacentral:rRNA from 1 species
UAAUUAUCUGGACGUUACCCACAGAAGAAGCACCGGCUAACUCCGUGCCAGCAGCCGCGGUAAUACGGAGGGUGCGAGCGUUAAUCGGAAUUACUGGGCGUAAAGGGUGCGUAGGUGGUUUUAUAAGUUAUCUGUGAAAUUCCUGGGCUCAACCUAGGGUGGUCAGAUAAGACUGCGAGACUUUGAGUAUAGAAGAGGGUAGUGGAAUUUCCGGUGUAGCGGUGAAAUGCGUAGAGAUCGGAAGGAACACCAGUGGCGAAGGCGGCUACCUGGCCUAAUACUGACACUGAGGCACGAAAGCGUGGGGAGCAAACAGGAUUAGAUACCCUGGUAGUCCACGCUGUAAUAAUAAGUUGGACGUUACUUACAGAAAAAGCACCGGCUAACUCCGUGCCAGCAGCCGCGGUAAUACGGAGGGUGCGAGCGUUAAUCGGAAUUACUGGGCGUAAAGGGUGCGUAGGUUGUUUAUUAAGUUAUCUGUGAAAUACCUGGGCUCAACCUGGGCAGGUCAGAUGAUACUGAUAGACUCGAGUAUAGGAGAGGGUAGUGGAAUUUCCGGUGUAGCGGUGAAAUGCGUAGAGAUCGGAAGGAACACCAGUGGCGAAGGCGGCUACCUGGCCUAAUACUGACACUGAGGCACGAAAGCGUGGGGAGCAAACAGGAUUAGAUACCCUGGUAGUCCACGCUGUAA